rnacentral:rRNA from 1 species
CCUACGGGAGGCAGCAGUGGGGAAUCUUGCGCAAUGGGCGAAAGCCUGACGCAGCCAUGCCGCGUGAAUGAUGAAGGUCUUAGGAUUGUAAAAUUCUUUCACCGGGGACGAUAAUGACGGUACCCGGAGAAGAAGCCCCGGCUAACUUCGUGCCAGCAGCCGCGGUAAUACGAAGGGGGCUAGCGUUGCUCGGAAUUACUGGGCGUAAAGGGAGCGUAGGCGGAUAGUUUAGUCAGAGGUGAAAGCCCAGGGCUCAACCUUGGAAUUGCCUUUGAUACUGGCUAUCUUGAGUAUGGGAGAGGUAUGCGGAACUCCGAGUGUAGAGGUGAAAUUCGUAGAUAUUCGGAAGAACACCAGUGGCGAAGGCGGCAUACUGGCCCAUUACUGACGCUGAGGCUCGAAAGCGUGGGGAGCAAACAGGAUUAGAUACCCUGGUAGUCCACGCUGUAAACGAUGAGUGCUAGUUGUCGGCAUGCAUGCAUGUCGGUGACGCGAGCGUACGCAUAAGACGACGUCCGCCGUCGGGGUAGGUACGGUCGGCGAAGUAAGUUAAACGUUAACGAAAGUAGUUAAGUUAGUACGGCGUUGAGACGUUGCCGACGGACGACGACGAGGGGAGGUUAGG